rnacentral:rRNA from 1 species
CGAUCCUGCCGAGGCGAGUGAUGCUAAGCAUGCAAGGCGGUCGUGGGGGCUUCGGUUCCCUUGAUCGUUGAGUCUGUAACCCGAUCUUGUAGUAGGCAAGCUGC